CGUAUCGCUUUACGAAUCGCCGGCGCCGGUAGUUUUUUCUCGUUUUUCUGCUGUUUAAUGUAAAUUGUUUUUUUUUUAUCGAAUAAGCCAAAGAAGAUUUGUUUUUUAGUGAACUGUUAAAUAAAAAACUUUUGUGCUACUCGAUUUGCUAAAAUGAAAAGGCAAUCGAAAGUUGUGAAUCGCCAUCGCCGCGGGUUGUCUUGGUUAUUUCGUGUGAAGCAAAUCGGAUAAAUUGGACAAAGUUUCUUUUCUAGUGAAGUGUUGAAUGAUGAAGAAAUUUGCUGAAAUCGUUGCCGGAUAUUUGAAUCGUUUUGUUAGUGCUAUCAGCAAUAUCCUUUAAGCCAGUAAACUUAGUUGAAACGUCAUACUAGAUUAUUCCCCCACGAAAACGGCGAAUGUUUAUACGUUUAACCCAACGAACAAGCAAAAUUGUUGCAUCACUGAUUGACGAUGGCUUAUUAAAAUUUACAAGGCAGGUCUAAUAAGUGAAAAGACCUAUUUCAGUGAUCAGGAUGCAGGACCGUUGGCGACACCGAAAUUAUUACAAAAAGAUCCAGCACCGGUUGAAAUACCUCCAAGUUCGUCGAUCACACCAAUAUCAACGUUUUAUGGGGACCAGUGCCGUAGGAGCUGAUUACAGCGGAAUGUACCGCUAAUUGUUACCAUUCUCAAAAAAUUGUGAGUAUAUUCCGGCUUGUUUGGUUUGCUGACGAAACCUGCCAUUCGUUUGUUGGGUGUUGACUGGUGGCGCAUUUCAGACAGACAGGGCUUUGAUUUUGAUAAGGAUACAAAAUAAUUCCAGACGGUGAAAAACAGUAUGCCAUCUAACGUGCCACCCACCAUGCCAAUCACAGUAUGUUCAUAUUCAUAAAAGGACCACCACCCAUGAACGGCAUUGUCGAAGACAAUUUUUUAAAAUAACGACUUUUACGACUUGGUUACCAAUCAAAUUGAAAAUCGUGGAACAAUUUUGUCGAUAACAGUGGUGGUGGCGGCUUUGGUAGUGGUCGGCGCCACUAAAGCAACUGGAUGAACAAUUAUCGUUGAGGCCUCCGAAAUAGCAACUACCGGCCACUAUGGCUAUUAACCAUUAUUCUGCUUGUCCAUAUUUUUCCUAGAGCAUAAUAUAACAGCGCUUAGUAUAUAAGAUGAAAACUAUGCCAAAUGAGCUAACGUCGAAUAUCGACCAUUCUUGGUUUAAAUUAAACUUUACUCACGUUUGAAUAACUUAAAAAAAGCUCAUGUGUUUUGGUAUAGGGUAACGGGGGUAUUUUGGCCAGCUUUGGGAAGUGUUCGCACAGUUCAUUAAAAACAAACACAAUUUUUCAACAUAAAUACCCACUCAAUUACACCAUUACUAAAAGCUAAGUUUCUAUUUUAAUAUGCACCGUUCAACAAUGCAAUAUAUUGAAAAAUAUCCUAGAAAUAUCAAAAUUUCUACGAAGUACCAAAAACAUAUUUUGGUCCACCAAAUUUUUACUUUGGCCCACCUUUAUAUCUAGAAACGUGUAUGGAAAUAGUUCGGACUAAAUAUAUUUAAAAUCAUUAUCGGUAUUUUUAGAGCAAAAAUAGAGGGUUUGAGGAGAACAUCCUUCUGCUGUGAAUUGUUGUAAAUUUUAGGCAUCUAAAUAUGAAAUAAUUUGGCUUAUAGCGGUUUGACAGGCAUUCUCAUCCAAUUUCACAUCGUUAAAUGUGAUAAAUUAAGAAGUAAUUACCUGCAAAUUGUCACAAGCUGAUUCUUUGUUCACGUGCAACGGCCGAACGGUAAACAAAGAGAUGUUAAAACUUGGCAUGGCCAAAAUAUGUUUGCUUCAGAAAGAGGCAAACAUAUUUCGGCCAUGCGUUUAACCACUUUUUCAACUUUUUCCAACAUGUUAGAGUAUACAAACUGUUUCUAUGACAUUUUAUUGAUGUUACUACAACAACGAAUUGUAUCAAAAGCAUACAUAUUUGUUACAAUAGCUUCCGAACGUUGACUUGUAUAUUAGCACUUCCUCUUGACUUUGGGUUUCCUAAUUCCAAAAUAACAUUACCUAGAGCCAGUUUUUCGCCGAAAAUUAUAAUGUAGUAUGAUUUUUAGGUGUGUUAUUUAAUGCUGCAUGCAUAUUUUUCUAAUAUUCAUUGAAUUUAUCAUAUUAAAUGCAUAAAUUGUUACCGGGUGGGCCAAAAUAUGCAUGUGGGCCAAAAUACCCUCGUUACCCUAGGCUUUAUUCAAAGAAUUGUAGCUCAGAAACCUUGGGUGGUACCUAUAUAAAAACUGUC